rnacentral:rRNA from 1 species
UGGGGAAUAUUGGACAAUGGGGGCAACCCUGAUCCAGCGAUGCCGCGUGUGUGAAGAAGGCCUGCGGGUUGUAAAGCACUUUAGUGGGGGAGGAAACUGAUGUUUCGAAUGGAGACAUCAGAUGACGUUACCCCAAGAAUAAGCACCGGCUAACUCUGUGCCAGCAGCCGCGGUAAUACAGAGGGUGCGAGCGUUAAUCGGAAUGACUGGGCGUAAAGGGUGCGUAGGUGGUUUUUUAAGUUGUUUGUGAAAUACCCGGGCUUAACCUGGGUGCUGCGAACAAGACUGGAAGACUAGAGUAGGGUAGAGGGAAGUGGAAUUUCCGGUGUAGCGGUGAAAUGCGUAGAUAUCGGAAGGAACACCAGUGGCGAAGGCGGCUUUCUGGACCCAUACUGACGCUGAGGCACGAAAGCGUGGGGAUCAAACAGG